GGAAAUUACAAAUCGCCCUCCAUCACAGGAUCGAUAUUUGAGAGGAAACGAGUGAAGUGUCUUCGUUGAGACUGGCUCACUGGGUAGCGUUUCUCAUUAGUUACUUGGUGUCAAGCAUUUUCCCCUCCAUUUUAUUCCAUCAUUUACCUUUCUUCUCACUUCAUUUCGCUUGCUGGUCUGUCGAAUUAGCUAAGCUGGAUAGAUUGAUUGGAAAAAAGAGCAAAAAAAAAAAAGUUCUCUCUUUUACACAGUCCUGGUAGGAAACAAACGUCGGGGCUCAGAAAUCCAUCUGGUUGCAGUGUCUGGUUGACCUUGCAAGGAGACAACAAAUACACAGGAUAUACUUUCGUAUAUAAAUGGUUCAGCAGCUGUCAGCGGUACCUUCUACUUCAUGGAAUCCAUCUUCAAAAGGUCUUUGCUUGGGCAUCAUGGAGUUCCAAAGGCUUCAAACGUCAGCUCUAAGUUCAGAAAAGCUUAGGUUGAAGGUCUUAUAAUCCUUCUUGUAUAUGUCUUUUUUCUUUUGUGUGGAGCUACUAAACGAAACAUGAAUUGCCUUCCUUAUGUAAUUGUGUAAUAUAGUAGUGCCAGUUAUGGCAAUACAACUCAACACCUAUCAGGCUUUUUGUUGCAAUUCAGUUAUGUUGAACCAUUUCCAUGACUUUCAGUCUGAGUUUUGUCCUGGGAAUAGGAUCAUUUUCCACAAACUAUUAUUAUUCUAACACUCAUGUUUCAUUCCAGUUUCAGUUUGGGCUUCAGAAACUUCAGAAAGGUGUACCUAAAAUUUCCAGGACUGUCUUCAAUGCCAGCCAGAAACCCCAAAAAGAUCGAACAGUCAAGAAACAAGAAUCAUAUCCACAGAAUGUGGAUCUUCCACCAGUACUACCAAAGCAAAAAAAGAAGCCCUAUCCCAUUCCUUUCAGUCUGAUCAAGAAGGCUGCAAGGAAGGACAAAAAACUUGCAGAAAUGGGUAUUGAGAAGCCCCUUGAACCUCCAAAAAAUGGAUUACUUGUCCCUGAUCUGAUUCCUGUUGCGCAUGAGGUACUGGAUGCCUGGAAAGUAUUGAUAAAAGGAGUUGCACAGCUCUUGCAUGUUAUUCCUGUAUAUGGUUGCAGGCAAGUUGGACUUUUGAUAGUUUAAUUAUCUAAUGGUUAAUUCAUGCAAAUUUCUUUGCUUUGUUGUCUAUCUUGGACAUUAACAUGCUAUAAUUUGUGUGCAGUGCAUGCUCAGAGGUUCAUGUGGCCCAUACAGGUCACCAUAUUCAGGAUUGCCUUGGUCCGAGCAGUGCUAAGCGCCACAGUUCCCACUCAUGGAUCAAGGGUUCCAUCAAUGAUGUACUUGUCCCCAUUGAGUCAUACCAUCUUUAUGAUCCUUUUGGUCGGCGCAUCAAGCAUGAAACUCGGUUUGACUAUGACAGGAUUCCAGCUGUUGUUGAACUUUGCAUCCAAGCUGGUGUGGAUAUACCAGAAUAUCCUUCUCGCAGAAGAACUAAUCCAAUCAGAAUGCUUGGAAAGAAAGUGAUAGACAGAGGUGGAUAUGUUGAGGAGCCGACGCCAUGGCGUUCUGCAAAUCCAUCUACCCUUAUUGAUUUUGAUACAUAUAGGGCUUGUGAACGAUUUUCACCUUCUUUGUUGGAAUAUGUACCAAAGAUUGCACAGGAAACCAUUGAUGCAUAUGAAAUUGUUAGAUGGGGUGUGAGGAAGUUAAUGAGGAAAUACACUGUGAAGGCAUGUGGAUAUUGCUCAGAGGUGCAUGUGGGACCUUGGGGUCACAAUGUUAAGCUUUGUGGGGAAUACAAGCACCAGUGGAGGGAUGGAAAACAUGGUUGGCAGGAUGCUACUGUUGAGGAAGUUAUCCCACCUAAUUAUGUGUGGCAUGUUAGAGAACCCGAAGGGCCUCCAUUGAAGAGCGCACUCAAAAAGUUUUAUGGAAAAGCUCCAGCAGUAGUUGAAAUGUGCAUGCAAGCAGGUGCACAAAUCCCUGAAAAAUACAAGCCUAUGAUGAGGCUUGACAUUAUAAUACCUGAAACUGAUGAAGCAAAAUUAAUUGCAUGAUAGGAUCUGAGAAGAUGGUAAAUUCUCCACCUUCGUGCAGAAAAAUAUGAUGCUUGUAUACGAUUUACUGGGUAUCCCUGUUCUUCUAUAGAUAGUUUGGUUGUGUAUGGUGUACCCCCUAUCAUGAAUUAAAAAGAGAUGUUUUAGAGAUCCUUGAGCAAUAAUUAGAAUUAGAGAUGUAUUACAGAACAGUACUAAUCUCCCCUGAAACCAGCUGAUUAGAAUUAGAGCAAUAAUUAUUUUGCUGUGUUUCUGGUUCACGAGAGUAGAGUGCAAGCUAUUGAUUGUUUAAUUGCAUAUCUUGACAAUUAUUUGAGCAAAU
rnacentral:misc_RNA from 1 species